rnacentral:rRNA from 1 species
UGUAGUCAUAUGCUUGUCUCGCAGAUUAAGCCAUGCAUGUGUAGGUAUUAGAGUUUGUCAAUGAAACUGCGACUGGCUCAUUAAAACAGUCAGAAUCUCAGUGGAUCAGUAUCAUCUUUGCGGAUAUCCGUGGUAACUCUACAGCUAAUACGUAGGGAUUCUAUUCCAGCAGCCUGGGCCAUUGGUGCACCUAGCUCCGACUUGAGGCCUCCAGGCAGUCAGCACGACAGUGCGGUUCCACACGACUAUCUGACCUAUCAGGUGCCGGCGGUUGAGUAGUGGCCUACUGCACCGACAACGGGUAACGGGGAAUG